GGUUUUCCUGGAAAGGUUUUUAACGAGGCAACAAAGACGUAAAGCAAGAAACUAUAGUGACACUGGUCUCCAAGGGGGAGUGUUAUAAACAUGAAGAAUGAAUGUCAAGAAUAUACGCACCGAAAAUUGACAUUUUCGUGUGUACGUAUAUUACGUGGAGCCCGCAUCACUAUACACGCACAGUAAAUCUUACUUUUUAAUUUCUAUAUAAACGAUCGUUUCGAUCAAUUGUAACAUAACCAUCUCUUCUUCUU
rnacentral:lncRNA from 1 species